CCAGUCGGCCGGACGGCCGCGGGCGCAAGCUGGAAACGGCGCGUUCGAGGAAAGUCCGGGCUCCACGCGGAUACGGCGGCGGGUAACGCCCGCCGAGAGCAAUCUUAGGGAUAGCGCCACAGAGAACAGACCGCCCGCCGUCGCCCCUUCGGGGGCUUUGGCGAGGUAAGGGUGAAACGGUGGGGUAAGAGCCCACCGCGCCGACCGUAAGGAAGGCGGCACGGCAAGCCCCGUCGGGAGCAAGACCGAAUAGGGAUGCGAUGGCCCCGCAAAGGGUACGGCCCAUCCGUGGGAGCGCAUCCGGGUAGGUCGCGAGAACCAUGCGGCGACGCAUGGUCCAGAGGAAUGGUCGUCACCGCGCAAGCGGAACAGAACCCGGCUUACAGGCCGACUGGUAUU
rnacentral:RNase_P_RNA from 1 species